AAUAAUGAAGUAAAAAAAUACAUUUAGUUUCGACCUAAAAUAAGAAUAUCAAUUUCCAUUAUUU
rnacentral:tRNA from 1 species